rnacentral:rRNA from 1 species
AUGUCGGGAAUAAACUUUAGUGUCAUUACCCUGAUCCCCAAAGUAGUUGGGGCUACGGACAUUAGACACUUCAGGCCUAUCACAGUUAUCAACGUUCUUGAACGCAUUUUCUCCAAAGUCUGAGCGACUCGACUAGCCCCUGUAGCUGAGCGGCUAGAUCACCCUCUCCAAACGACAUUUUUGAAUGGACGAUAGAUUCAUGACGGGAUCCUAGCCCUUCACAAGAUUUUCCAUGAGGUUCGGACGCGCGGACAUAAGGGCAUCUUUAUCAAGUUGGACUUCCAGAAAGCCUAUGAUCGGCUGGACUGGUCCUUCUUGCGGUUAGUCCUACAGCGCCGGGGCUUUGAUGAUAGAUGGUGUUCUUGGAUCAUGCUAUUGGUUCAGUCUGGUCUGACAACGAUUAAUAUUAAUGGCGAGGUGGGACCAUUCUUUACGUCCUCCGCGGGAGUGAAGCAAGGGGACCUGAUUUCUCCCCUCCUCUUCAACCUCGUUGUAGAUGCGUUAGCAGGAAUCCUGGAUAAAGCUAGGAUGGCAAGUCACCUCUUAGGGGUAGUUGGUCACCUGCUCCCUCGUGGAGGGGUCACUCACCUACAAUACGCUGAUGACACCAUGAUUACGGUGGAGGGGUCCAACCUAGACAUCAUGAAUCUUAAGUCCCCGCUCCUCUGUUUUGAGUGUAUGUCGAGACUAAAGAUCAAAUUUGAUAAGAGUGAGGUCGUCGUCCUGGGAUUUCUAACCGAGGAACAACAACGGAUUGCAGACAACCUAAAUUGCAGACUGGCGUCAUUCCCCAUUACAUACUUGGGAAUGCCUAGGGUCAACUCGAAGGUUCUCUUGAGUGCCUUCGCCCUACUUGUGGGAAGAGUGGCAUCUUAG